GUGAUCCUCCUGUCUCAGCCUCUCAAAGUAUUGAGAAUACAGGCACUACCAUGACUUCUAUGCAGUUUCCAUGAAAAAUAUCCCCGCAACCCGAUUCAGCCAACCUAAUUCAUCGUGCUGUUAGUAACACCGGUGGGCUUACAUUUUCAAGGAAUCGUCAUAUCUUCAGUCUCCCUGAUUCGGCCAGCCUAACCAUCGGUGCCAUGCCCUGGGGAGGCAAAUAGAGAGAAAGAGGGUCAACUAUCUAGCAUAUACCAGAGCCGUGCAUAUUAGCUCAUUGCUGAGUCACUACCUGAGAAGUAGGUUUUAUUUUCAUGUUACAGAGGAGGAAAGAGACUCAGGGACAAUAAUAUGUAACUUAUCAAAAACCACAAACGUAUUAGCUGAGAACUCAUUAAGAGUUCUUCAACAGAACAUGCUGUAUUUUUAUGUCUUAAGGAUAUGUGGUAUAAGGUUUGCACUUGGAUUAAAUCGGAACAUCCGCUGCACAGUCCAUGAUGGAGGGAGAUUUCAUUAGCGAGGAGCCAAUGUCAACAAAGUCAAAGAACAUCGGUUUCUCAGCCAGCACAUGAGCGCUGGGCGACAUCGGCUGGGGUGAGAUGAGAUUAGAGGUAUUUCAGCAACAUGGAACGAAAACCUCACUGGACCAGUCAGCCUGCGUUCAGGUCCAAUCUCGUUUGUCACAUACAGUGUGCCUUUGAACCAGCCUGUCACCUGUCUGGGCCUCAGUUUCCCGAACAAUAAAACAAAGAGGUUGAGCUAUAUGUCACUUAUAUAGUCCCUCCUGGCUUGAA